rnacentral:rRNA from 1 species
GUCCACGCCCUAAACGAUGAACACUAGUUGUUGGGAAUCCUAAUUGUCUCAGUAACGUAGCUAACGCGUUAAGUGUUCCGCCUGGGAAUUACGGUCGCAAGAUUAAAACUCAAAGGAAUUGACGGGGCCCGCACAAGCGGUGGAGCAUGUGGUUCAAUUCGAUGCUACGCGAAGAACCUUACCCAGACUUGACAUCCCGUGCUACUCUGUGAAAGCAGAGGUUCUCUUCGGAGACGCGGUGACAGGUGCUGCAUGGCUGUCGU